CGCGUAGGCGGGCCUUCAAGUCGGGUGUGAAAACUGCCAGCUUAACUGGCAGCCUGCACCCGAUACUGUCGGUCUUGAGUACAGGAGAGGUGAGUGGAACUGCGAGUGUAGAGGUGAAAUUCGUAGAUAUUCGCAAGAACACCAGUGGCGAAGGCGGCUCACUGGCCCGGUACUGACGCUGAGGUGCGAAAGCGUGGGGAGCAAACA
rnacentral:rRNA from 1 species